rnacentral:rRNA from 1 species
AACGUAGGAGACAAACGUUAUCCGGAGUUACUGGGCGUAAAGGGCGUGUAGGUGGUUUCGUAAGUCUGGCGUGAAAUUUCUCGGCUUAACCGAGGCAGGUCGUCGGAUACUGCGGAACUUGAGGACGGUAGAGGCGUGUGGAAUUCCGGGUGUAGUGGUGAAAUGCGUAGAUAUCGGGAGGAACACCUGCGGCGAAGGCGGGUUGCUGGGCUGACACUGACGCUGAGGCGCGAAAGCCAGGGGAGCGAACGGG